UAGUCUGACCUUCUGUAUAACACAGGCCAUGGAAUGUCCCUAAAAUAAUUCCUACAGCAGAUCUUUUAGAAAACAUCCCAUCUUGAUUUAAAAAUUGUCAGGGAGGGAGAACCCACCAGGAGCCUUGCAAUAUUGUUCUAAUGGAUCAGCUCACAUUUCAAGAUCAGGCUGUUUCUGAUGUGUUCGUGAUGGACUUAUUCAAGCAUAACAAGCAACUUGCAACUGCAUUACUACCAGCUGACAGCAUGAUCUAACAAGUUUAUUUUGCAUUUUCCACAACUGCAGCAUUGUGUGACAUUUUAAGGCCCUGUACACACUGCUGCUUUUACUCCGGAGGACAUUCUGUGUCAAAAAAAUUAAAAAUGUUGUGCCAAAAAAUUAAAAAUUCUGCACCCAA